rnacentral:rRNA from 1 species
UGGGGAAUAUUGGACAAUGGGGGCAACCCUGAUCCAGCCAUGCCGCGUGUGUGAAGAAGGCCUUUUGGUUGUAAAGCACUUUAAGCAGGGAGGAGAGGCUAAUGGUUAAUACCCAUUAGAUUAGACGUUACCUGCAGAAUAAGCACCGGCUAACUCUGUGCCAGCAGCCGCGGUAAUACAGAGGGUGCGAGCGUUAAUCGGAAUUACUGGGCGUAAAGCGAGUGUAGGUGGCUCAUUAAGUCACAUGUGAAAUCCCCGGGCUUAACCUGGGAACUGCAUGUGAUACUGGUGGUGCUAGAAUAUGUGAGAGGGAAGUAGAAUUCCCAGGUGUAGCGGUGAAAUGCGUAGAGAUCUGGAGGAAUACCGAUGGCGAAGGCAGCUUCCUGGCAUAAUAUUGACACUGAGAUUCGAAAGCGUGGGUAGCAAACAGGAUUAGAUACCCUGGUAGUCCACGCCGUAAACGAUGUCUACUAGCCGUUGGGGUCCUUGAGACUUUAGUGGCGCAGUUAACGCGAUAAGUAGACCGCCUGGGGGAG